rnacentral:rRNA from 1 species
UACGUAGGGUGCAAGCGUUAAUCGGAAUUACUGGGCGUAAAGCGCACGUAGGCGGCUUGCCAAGUCGGACGUGAAAUCCCUCAGCUCAACUGAGGACGUGCAUCCGAAACUGGCGAGCUUGAGUACUGAAGAGGAUCGCGGAAUUCCCGGUGUAGAGGUGAAAUUCGUAGAUAUCGGGAGGAACACCAGUGGCGAAGGCGGCGAUCUGGGCAGAUACUGACGCUGAGGUGCGAAAGCGUGGGGAGCAAACAGG